GACGAACGCUGGCGGCGUGCUUAACACAUGCAAGUCGAACGGAAAGGCCCUGCUUUUGUGGGGUGCUCGAGUGGCGAACGGGUGAGUAACACGUGAGUAACCUGCCCUUGACUUUGGGAUAACUUCAGGAAACUGGGGCUAAUACCGGAUAGGAGCUCCUGCUGCAUGGUGGGGGUUGGAAAGUUUCGGCGGUUGGGGAUGGACUCGCGGCUUAUCAGCUUGUUGGUGGGGUAGUGGCUUACCAAGGCUUUGACGGGUAGCCGGCCUGAGAGGGUGACCGGCCACAUUGGGACUGAGAUACGGCCCAGACUCCUACGGGAGGCAGCAGUGGGGAAUAUUGCACAAUGCGCGGAAGCCUGAUGCAGCAACGCCGCGUGCGGGAUGACGGCCUUCGGGUUGUAAACCGCUUUCGCCUGUGACGAAGCGUGAGUGACGGUAAUGGGUAAAGAAGCACCGGCUAACUACG
rnacentral:rRNA from 1 species